CUCCACCUAAGGACAUUGGUGAGGUAGAAAAACUUGUAUCAGAAGGCAAAGUAGCUGUUGUCUUUGUCGAGCCCAUACAUGGCAAUGGAGGGAUAAAAAGCUUUACGCCACAAUACCUGCGGUCUUUACGGACUGCUUGCGAUAAAUCUGGAGUAUUACUUGCAUUCGAUGAGGUAAAUGCUAACUACAAUUUAUAUAUAAAACUAACUACUGCGAAUACGAUAAUGUUUAUUGAUAUCACCUUGCUUGCAGGUUCAAUGUGGCAUAGGUCAAACGGGCCGGCUUUGGGCCCACCAAGCACUCGGUGUAGAGCCGGAUUUUAUGAUUGUGCGAUUCCGUGGUAUGGACAUCG
rnacentral:lncRNA from 1 species